GUUCUGUUAUUUGCAGUCAGUAACAAAGGUUCAUCCUUGUGUCCAUCAUGCAGCAAGGAGAAUCUUUGUCACUUAGUGUAAUUAAUAGCUGGAC
ensembl:miRNA